rnacentral:rRNA from 1 species
UUAAGGCGGUUCAGUUGCUUAGACAGCCAGGAUGUUUGCUUGGAAGCAGCAAUUCAUUUAAAGAGUGCGUAACAGCUCACUGGUCGAGCGACAGAGCAUCGAUAAUAAUCGGGCAUCAAGUGUAUUACCGAAGCUCAGGAUUUAGCAGCAAUGCUAAGUGGUAGGGGAGCAUUCUGACAGCGGCGAAGUCGUCUGGUAAUGGACGGUGGAGCAGUCAGAAAAGCAAAUGUAGGCAUAAGUAACGAUAAGGCAGGCGAGAAACCUGCCCACCGAUAGACUAAGGGUUCCGCGGCAAUGCUAAUCAUCCGCGGGUAAGUCGGGACCUAAGGAAUAGCCGAAAGGCGAAUCUGAUGGCCAAUGGGUUAAUAUUCCCAUACUACCGUAUUGAGCGAUGGAGAGAAGGAGGAGUGACAAUUCCGCGCCCUGACGAAAUAGGGCGUUAAAAGAUGUAGGUAUAUUUUCUAUAGGCAAAUCCGUAGAGAAUGCUGAAGUCCAACAGUACCAGGAGGCUCCGGCCGAAUGGAUAGAGAAUGUAAGCAGACUUCCGAGAAAAUCUUCUAAGCAUAUUGAUACGGUACCCGUACCGCAAACCGACACAGGUAGUCAAGGAGAGAAUCCUGAGGUGCUCGAGUGAGUCAUGGCUAAGGAACUAGGCAAAUUAAACCUGUAACUUCGGGAAAAGGGUUGCCUCUCUUUAGCAAUAAAGAAGGUCGCAGAGAAAUGGCCCAGGCGACUGUUUAACAAAAACACAUGGCUAUGCGAAAUCGUAAGAUGAAGUAUAUGGCCUGACACCUGCCCGGUGCUGGAAGGUUAAGGGGGGAAGUUAGUCGCAAGGCGAAGCUUUGAACUGAAGCCCCAGUAAACGGCGGCCGUAACUAUAACGGUCCUAAGGUAGCGAAAUUCCUUGUCGGGUAAGUUCCGACCUGCACGAAUGGUGUAACGAUCUGGGCACUGUCUCAGCCAUGAGCUCGGUGAAAUUGUAGUCACGGUGAAGAUGCUGUGUACCCGUCACGGGACGGAAAGACCCCAUGCACCUUUACUAUAGCUUCGCAUUGACAUUGGGUAGAUGAUGUGUAGGAUAGGUGGGAGGCGUUGAUCCUGUGCCGCUAGGUAUAGGGGAGCCAACGGUGAAAUACCACCCUUUAUUUAUCAGAUGUCUAAUCCGCAAGACCUGCGGAGACAGUGCGUGGUGGGUAGUUUGACUGGGGUGGUCGCCUCCGAAAGUGUAUCGGAGGCUUUCAAAGGUAUGCUCAAUACGCUUGGUAACCGUAUGUGGAGUGCAAUAGCAUAAGCAUGCUUGACUGUGAGACUGACAAGUCGAGCAGGGUCGAAAGACGGAUAUAGUGAUCCGGUGGUUCUGUAUGGAAGGGCCAUCGCUCAAAGGAUAAAAGGUACGCUGGAUAACAGGCUGAUCUCCCCCAAGAGCUCACAUCGACGGGGAGGUUUGGCACCUCGAUGUCGGCUCGUCACAUCCUGGGGCUGGAGAAGGUCCCAAGGGUUAGGCUGUUCGCCUAUUAAAGUGGCACGCGAGCUGGGUUCAGAACGUCGUGAGACAGUUCGGUCCCUAUCUGUGAUGGGCGUAGGAAGUUUGAGAGGAUCUGACCUUAGUACGAGAGGACCGGGUUGGACCAACCGCUGGUGUACCGGUUGUGGCGUCAGCUGCAUCGCCGGGUAGCUACGUUGGGACGAGAUAAGCGCUAAAAGCAUCUAAGCGCGAAACUCACCUCAAGAUGAGACUUCCAUUAAGGGACGUCAGAGACUAUGACGUUGAUAGGCUGCAGGUGUAAAGGCAGAAAUGUCAAAGCUGAGCAGUACUAAUUACCC